AUCAAUCUGAGGUGAGGCCUUCGAGCACCUUUUAUGUUGGUUGUGAUGAGUAUAGAAAGUAUCGGCCAAUAGUUUCAUAUUCAUGCUUCUUUCUUUUCAUAAUUAUGUAAAUUCUUGUGCUACUGGUGCGAUGCCGCCGCCGGCGCGAGAUCCGCGCCCCCGUACCAAGUCACGUCGAGGAAGUCCGCCACCACGCCACUAGGGCUUUGCCCGGCGACGCCCUGGGCGGUGGUGGGAGAGGAGGUUGAGGAAGGUGAGGUUGAGGGAGGGAGGAGCGGUGGCCGCCCAGCGCGGGGCGGUGCCGGCGCGGGAGGAGAGAUUAGGGUGCAUGAUUAUAUCAUUUGAGAAAGAAGAUCUGCGGUUAGAUAUGCUUUUAAGUAGUUUACUGACUGCUACUAAUUGUUUAGAUCACUUUAGUAUCCCAUCUUUUGUUUUCUGGUUUUGCUCCAGGUUGCCCUCUCAGUUCUUCUGUUAGGCGCUCUUAGAUGAGGACUUCAAGCCCCAAGUAUCUCACACACGCAGUCCCUCUAUUUGUUUUCUUAGAGGGGAGGUCUUCAAGCCCCUCUUCUGUUCUUAUGUUCUUGCAUCCGGUUGUGGCUUUAAUUUAUUUUUGCCUCACUUUUAAAUUUCCCUUAGAUAAUCUUACCAUUACUAUGAUAUUAAUAUUUCAUGUAAAUCAUGGUUCAUCAAGCAUAAUCAGUACGUCUUUCCGAAGAUGUUCUAUUUUAUAUAUGCGCUUUUUUUUGCAUAAAAGCAACUGCAUCUCUCUUGUGGCACUAAUGCAUGCCUAUCUUUUUAAAUUUCCUUAAAUAAUCGGUUAUUUAAAGAUGAAUCUCUCUUGUGGCACUAAUGCAUCUCUCUUGUGGCACUAAUGAUCUCUUGUGGCACAAAACCAGAAAUUUUCUUGUGAUUUUAAGAUUUUGUUGCACAAAAGAUGAAUAUUUGCAAGCAUAGAUAUGCAUGUGAGUGAGCAAUUGAAAUGCCACUUGUAAACAACUCUUGGUGACUAAAACUAUUUAUGUUGUUACUUACCAUGCAGAGAAUGCCCCAGUUGUGCUUACUGGUACCAUGAUAAGACAGAGUUGAGACAUAUGUAUAUACUUUGAAGGUCCAUCCUCGGCCGUGUUAAUUCAUAGUGAUGCCUUCUUCAUUGGAUUCCUCCCUUUAUAAAGCAACCCACGGAAAAUCCAUAUUAGAUUCAAGAAAGAAGAGAAAAGGAACAAUCCAAUAGAAAAGGAGCAAUCUCUUUGCCCUCACAUGCGAAUGAAGAGCAGCAAAGCCGUCCGGCUGUUCUGCGGAGGGCCUGAGGGUGUCACCAGCUUGCCGCCUCCGUCCCGGGCUCCGGUGCCGUUCGGGAGAUUGAGGCGGCGGUCGGCCGGCUUAGGGGUCUGGCCUGCCUGCCGGCUCGCCCCGUCUGCGCCUUCUUCCAUGACCCACACUGCUGGCAUGCUGCGUCGGCGUCACGUGGAGAAACAACCGUUGUGCACGCCCUUCACGGCGAGCUCGGCUGAUGCCUAUGACGGCAAGAUUCCGAGAAAGCUUGCUCAUGGUGCUGCUGGUAGGACAUGUUCUGUGCCCAGAUCAAACAUCCCAUUACCCAGGUGUGUCGGUAGUGGUCAGAUGAUGGGCUCAUAAAAUGGUGAGAGAUGCCUGCCAACGCCCCUCCUCCUCGGACCAUUCUCGUCUCCGUUAGGCAGCUCCUAUUCCGGAUUGGUGAAAGGCAAAAGCAUUGCCGGUUGUCAACACAAUUAGAGGGCCAAUGCUCAAAUGAUGUCCUAUCGAUAGGCCUGACAAGGACAGCCCUGCUGCAGAGUGGGGGAGAAGUUGCAGUCGACGAGAAUUAUGUUCAGAUGCUGCAAAUGAUGGAUUGAUGUUAUCUCUGUACAGUGACAGGCCCCUGUGUUUGCCUUGGAGCUAAUGAUGUAUUGGUGUUAUCUCUCCGCAAUGUCAGGUGCAAUAAGAUUUGCAAAGCAACCACUAUUUUAGGUGGGUAUUAGACAGUAGUGUGGUUCUUUCAUGGACCUGACAGGUGAUUUAUGAUGAUAGGUCUCUAAGAUAUAUCUGCUAACAUUCUAUUUCUCGCUUUAUAGAUGUGCAGUUAUAGCUUUGAAUGUUGUAUUUGGGUGGCGGAAGAUUCUUACACUUGGAACAUUACAUCAGGAUGAGGCUCUGGAAACAAGCUAUGUGAAUCCUUUCUGAUGGCCAGCCAAGAUACAUGUAAGAUAACAAUUGGUAUCUCGAUCCUCUAGGUAAUGCCUUUGUUUUCCUAUUUUGAGUCAACUGGUGUAAAUUUCAUUCUUUGUUGUUGUCUAAAUUAAUGCAAUCAUUAUAAGAAAAUAGGAGAUCCUUUAGCGCAGACAGUGCUUCCAGAUCAUGCCCUUUGUUUGGUUGCUUGAGGUGAUCCCUUUCAGUCCGUCCUAUUCUGCUACUCGAUUACAAAUGUGAGGAUUGCCUUCCAAUACACAGUCCACUUUAUGCGACCAUGCUCUGGAAGAUGCAAACCACCUGCUCAUGCAAUGCCCUUUCUCAGGUGAGGUUCGGAUAAGAUUGUAUCAAGCUAAUUGUUUGGAGCCUAAAAAACAGGACACAUCUGGGAAUGGUAUUACUGGGCUAGAUGCCCAAGAUUAAAACACAGAGAGGUGGCAGCAAUUGUGAUUCCAGGAAUGAGGAAACUAUGGCGAGCAAAAAAGGCUAUGAGUUUUGACUGUAAGACUGCAAAUCUGCAACAAGUUUUACAGGUGGCCUUGCAUGAAUUGGCACUGUUUGAGGUGGCCAAAACAAUGGUAGACAGGGGUGAGUAGUAGUCCGGAUUUUGUUUUAGUGGAGAUGUCUUGUAAUCACUCUUGUAACUGAUCUAUGCCGAAUUUGAUGAAAUGACAAGCAACCUUUUUUAGUUGCCUCUUUAAAAAAGUACUUUGGUUUACACUUCAC